rnacentral:lncRNA from 1 species
GUGACCUUACUUUGCUGGAUUAUUCUUCACUGGUUGGUCUAAGAGAUAUUAGGGUUCUGGCUCCUUCACAUAAGAGCUGCCUACAUCAGGAAAGGGCUGUGGUUUGAUAGAGAAAGGUUGGAUUCUGGCUCAUGUGUGUUUGAUUGGUUUCCAGUUUCUGGUGUCAGAUAAGGAAAUGCUGGGGAUUGACCACUGAGGAGAAAUAAAUAGCAUUGACUCUGGAGUCAGUGGACCUAAGUUUAAAUUUUGCCUCUGAUAUUUACUACCCAUGUAACUUUGGGCAAGUCACUCUUUUCACCCUGAGUCUCAUCUCCCUCAUCUUAAAAUGAAUGAAUUUGACUAGGUAGUCUCUAUGGUCCUUUCACCUUUUCAUCUUUAAUUCUAUCUAUAAAGGAAUGGAACAUGAUGGAAUUUUUUAGAAAAGAGAAGGACAGAGGGAUGUUAGAGUCUGGGCUUCCCUCGGUAGUGAGGAAUUUAGGAUAUUGAUUAGGUAUUGAUUAAAAUAAGAUAUUUGCUAAAGAGAUCUCUGAGAGUACAGGCAAGGCAGAGUGUUGGGUGUGAGACCAGAACUUAGAAGGAGGAUUAUAGAAAAAGGUUCCGACAGUUGGUGAGGUCCUCUCACUGACUGUCUAACUUUCUCUCUGGCUGCUGGUAGAGGCAGACAUCUGAGAACUUGCUCUGUGUUGGUGAAAGGGAAGAGAGAACUCUGAAAACCAUCUGAAGAGGGUUUCUACUUUGCUAACUGAGAGGAGUCAUCUCUAAGAAGAAGGUGGUACAUCUGUUUUGCUGGAGAACAGUUUGGCGAAAGACUGAAGGCUGUUUACCUGGAUUCUGGGCCAUACCAGGGUUACUUCAUUGUCAGUUAGCAGCUGCCAUCUUGGCUGACUGAAUCUAUAUGUACAUGGAGAUGUCUUUAUCAAAUUAAGUUAAUUGAAUAAGGAUUUUAGUUAGAUUAUAGUCACAUAGCAUUUGGGGGUUUUUUAGUAAGUGCCAGGCAGUUUUAGUGUAGCUGGAAGAACCGAAGGCUUUGUUGUGAGACAAACAGAAGCAUAUAUUAAGACCUGCAAUGAGAAUAAGGAUUCAGGUCAAAAGCAGAAGAUUUCUUCAGAAUCCAGGAAUUUUAACAUGACAUCAGAAAAAGUCCAAAGAAUCCCCUCUCCGCCCCCCACCCCAUCCUGAUUGUUAUAGAAUAUCUGAACUGAAGCCUAUGUUAGAGAGGCAAUGGUGGUAGAGAAGGAAGAGAAUUUGGACCUGGAAGUUAAAAUUUUAAACAAAAAAAACAAAGAAAGGUAAUGUUCUCUCCUUCAUUAGAGGCUUUCAUGUGACUGAUGAUAUUCUAUCCGGGGUUAUUGUUCAGGUAAUGGUUGUAUGCAAUGAGAUUCUGUGCCUUGCCUUCCCUUAACACUUUUCUUGAUCUUAUUCCCCUCUAGCUUCCAUGCAA